AUAUUUUGUCUGAGCAGAGCUGGGCUGAAUUUUUAAGAACAGUAGAUGCCGAUAUCGUCACCGGAUACAACAUCCAGAACUUUGACUUCCCCUACUUGCUCAACCGGGCUGCCGCGUUAAAGGUCAAUCUGUUUCCAUAUUUGGGCCGGGUGAGAGGGAUCAAGUCGGUGUUGCGGGACCUCAACUUCCAGAGCAAGCAGAUGGGCCGCAGAGAGAAUAAGAUCA